AUUGAACGCUGGCGGCAUGCCUUACACAUGCAAGUCGAACGGCAGCACGGGAGUAAUCCUGGUGGCGAGUGGCGAACGGGUGAGUAAUAUAUCGGAACGUGCCCAGUCGUGGGGGAUAACGCAGCGAAAGCUGUGCUAAUACCGCAUACGAUCUAAGGAUGAAAGCGGGGGAUCGCAAGACCUCGCGCGAUUGGAGCGGCCGAUAUCAGAUUAGCUAGUUGGUGGGGUAAAGGCCCACCAAGGCGACGAUCUGUAGCUGGUCUGAGAGGACGACCGGCCACACUGGAACUGAGACACGGUCCAGACUCCUACGGGAGGCAGCAGUGGGGAAUUUUGGACAAUGGGCGCAAGCCUGAUCCAGCAAUGCCGCGUGCAGGAUGAAGGCCUUCGGGUUGUAAACUGCUUUUGUACGGAACGAAACGGCCCUUUCUAAUACAGGGGGCUAAUGACGGUACCGUAAGAAUAAGCACCGGCUAACUACGUGCCAGCCGCCGCAGUAA
rnacentral:rRNA from 1 species